CAGCCGCCGCGGUAAUACGUAGGUCCCGAGCGUUGUCCGGAUUUAUUGGGCGUAAAGCGAGCGCAGGCGGUUAGAUAAGUCUGAAGUUAAAGGCUGUGGCUUAACCAUAGUACGCUUUGGAAACUGUUUAACUUGAGUGCAAGAGGGGAGAGUGGAAUUCCAUGUGUAGCAGUGAAAUGCGUAGAUAUAUGGAGGAACACCGGUGGCGAAAGCGGCUCUCUGGCUUGUAACUGACGCUGAGGCUCGAAAGCGUGGGGAGCAAACAGGAUUAGAUACCCGAGUAGUCCCUGUCUCUUAUACA
rnacentral:rRNA from 1 species